rnacentral:rRNA from 2 species
GUGCGAGACCGAUAGCGAACAAGUACCGUGAGGAAAAGAUGAAAAGAACUUUGAAAAGAGAGUUAAAGAGUACCUGAAACUGCUGAAAGGGAAGCGAAUCGUAUCCAGUGUCUAUAAUCUGCGGCAUAUUUCAUUGGCGGCAGUGUGCGUGCUUUUGCGUCGGAAGCGGCUUUUGUUGCUCUGUGCUUUUGCUGUGCGUGCUGUUGCUGGUGCCCUGUGUUGCGGUGGGACGUCAGAGUCAGUUUGUAUGCUGCGGGAAAUGGCUGCCGAGGAGGUAGGUCGAGAUUUCGGUCUUGGCUGUUAUAUCUUGGUGGUUUGUUGUCGUGGUUGAGACUGAGGUGCCUACAAUGUGCUUUUGAGUGCGCCGGGUUCUCAUUUGGUGGACUGUUUGGAUAGCUUGCUAUGCUUGUGGUUUUUUCAUCGGGUGAUUGAGUCUGGUGGUAACUUGUUGCUGUUCGGGACUUUG